rnacentral:rRNA from 1 species
AGUGAACGCUGGCGGUAGGCCUAACACAUGCAAGUCGAACGGCAGCACAGUAAGAGCUUGCUCUUACGGGUGGUGAGUGGCGGACGGGUGAGGAAUACAUCGGAAUCUACUUUUUCGUGGGGGAUAACGUAGGGAAACUUACGCUAAUACCGCAUACGACCUACGGGUGAAAGCAGGGGAUCUUCGGACCUUGCGCGAUUGAAUGAGCCGAUGUCGGAUUAGCUAGUUGGCGGGGUAAAGGCCCACCAAGGCGACGAUCCGUAGCUGGUCUGAGAGGAUGAUCGGCCACACUGGAACUGAGACACGGUCCAGACUCCUACGGGAGGCAGCGGUGGGGAAUAUUGGACAAUGGGCGCAAGCCUGAUCCAGCCAUACCGCGUGGGUGAAGAAGGCCUUCGGGUUGUAAAGCCCUUUUGUUGGGAAAGAAAAGCAGCAGGUUAAUACCCCGCUGUUCUGACGGUACCCAAAGAAUAAGCACCGGCUAACUUCGUG